rnacentral:rRNA from 1 species
GAUUAGAGUUUGAUCCUGGCUCAGGAUGAACGCUGGCGGCGUGCCUAAUACAUGCAAGUCGAGCGAACAGACAAGGAGCUUGCUCCUUUGACGUUAGCGGCGGACGGGUGAGUAACACGUGGGUAACCUACCUAUAAGACUGGGAUAACUUCGGGAAACCGGAGCUAAUACCGGAUAAUAUUUCAAACCGCAUGGUUCGAUAGUGAAAGAUGGUUUUGCUAUCACUUAUAGAUGGACCCGCGCCGUAUUAGCUAGUUGGUAAGGUAACGGCAUACCAAGGCGACGAUACGUAGCCGACCUGAGAGGGUGAUCGGCCACACUGGAACUGAGACACGGUCCAGACUCCUACGGGAGGCAGCAGUAGGGAAUCUUCCGCAAUGGGCGAAAGCCUGACGGAGCAACGCCGCGUGAGUGAUGAAGGUCUUCGGAUCGUAAAACUCUGUUAUUAGGGAAGAACAUACGUGUAAGUAACUAUGCACGUCUUGACGGUACCUAAUCAGAAAGCCACGGCUAACUACGUGCCAGCAGCCGCGGUAAUACGUAGGUGGCAAGCGUUAUCCGGAAUUAUUGGGCGUAAAGCGCGCGUAGGCGGUUUUUUAAGUCUGAUGUGAAAGCCCACGGCUCAACCGUGGAGGGUCAUUGGAAGCUGUAAAACUUGAGUGCAGAAGAGGAAAGUGGAAUUCCAUGUGUAGCGGUGAAAUGCGCAGAGAUAUGGAGGAACACCAGUGGCGAAGGCGACUUUCUGGUCUGUAACUGACGCUGAUGUGCGAAAGCGUGGGGAUCAAACAGGAUUAGAUACCCUGGUAGUCCACGCCGCAAACGAUGAGUGCUAAGUGUUAGGGGGUUUCCGCCCCUUAGUGCUGCAGCUAACGCAUUAAGCACUCCGCCUGGGGAGUACGACCGCAAGGUUGAAACUCAAAGGAAUUGACGGGGACCCGCACAAGCGGUGGAGCAUGUGGUUUAAUUCGAAGCAACGCGAAGAACCUUACCAAAUCUUGACAUCCUUUGACAACUCUAGAGAUAGAGCCUUCCCCUUCGGGGGACAAAGUGACAGGUGGUGCAUGGUUGUCGUCAGCUCGUGUCGUGAGAUGUUGGGUUAAGUCCCGCAACGAGCGCAACCCUUAAGCUUAGUUGCCAUCAUUAAGUUGGGAACUCUAAGUUGACUGCCGGUGACAAACCGGAGGAAGGUGGGGAUGACGUCAAAUCAUCAUGCCCCUUAUGAUUUGGGCUACACACGUGCUACAAUGGACAAUACAAAGGGCAGCGAAACCGCGAGGUCAAGCAAAUCCCAUAAAGUUGUUCUCAGUUCGGAUUGUAGUCUGCAACUCGACUACAUGAAGCUGGAAUCGCUAGUAAUCGUAGAUCAGCAUGCUACGGUGAAUACGUUCCCGGGUCUUGUACACACCGCCCGUCACACCACGAGAGUUUGUAACACCCGAAGCCGGUGGAGUAACCAUUUGGAGCUAGCCGUCGAAGGUGGGACAAAUGAUUGGGGUGAAGUCGUAACAAGGUAGCCGUAUCGGAAGGUGCGGCUGGAACACCUCCUUA